UGGGGAAUAUUGCGCAAUGGGCGAAAGCCUGAUGCAGCAACGCCGCGUGAGGGGCGACGGCCUUCGGGUUGUAAACCUCUUUUAGCAGGGAAGAAGCGAAAGUGACGGUACCUGCAGAAAAAGCGCCGGCUAACUACGUG
rnacentral:rRNA from 1 species